CUUGACAUCCAGCGAAUUUCCAGAGAUGGAUUGGUGCCUUCGGGAGCGCUGAGACAGGUGCUGCAUGGCUGUCGUCAGCUCGUGUUGUGAAAUGUGGUUAAGUCCGCAACGAGCGCAACCCUUAUCCUUUGUUGCCAGCGAUUCGGUCGGGAACUCAAAGGAGACUGCCGGUGAUAAACCGGAGGAAGGUGGGGAUGACGUCAAGUCAUCAUGGCCCUUACGAGUAGGGCUACACACGUGCUACAAUGGCGCAUACAAAGAGAAGCGACCUCGCGAGAGCAAGCGGACCUCAUAAAGUGCGUCGUAGUCCGGAUCGGAGUCUGCAACUCGACUCCGUGAAGUCGGAAUCGCUAGUAAUCGUGGAUCAGAAUGCCACGGUGAAUACGUUCCCGGGCCUUGUACACACCGCCCGUCACACCAUGGGAGUGGGUUGCAAAAGAAGUAGGUAGCUUAACCCUCGGGAGGGCGCUUACCACUUUGUGAUUCAUGACUGGGGUGAAGUCGUAACAAGGUAAGCGUACGUGU
rnacentral:rRNA from 1 species